rnacentral:rRNA from 1 species
AUUGAACGCUGGCGGCAGGCCUAACACAUGCAAGUCGAACGGUAACAGGAAACAGCUUGCUGUUUCGCUGACGAGUGGCGGACGGGUGAGUAAUGUCUGGGAAACUGCCUGAUGGAGGGGGAUAACUACUGGAAACGGUAGCUAAUACCGCAUAACGUCGCAAGACCAAAGAGGGGGACCUUCGGGCCUCUUGCCAUCGGAUGUGCCCAGAUGGGAUUAGCUAGUAGGUGGGGUAACGGCUCACCUAGGCGACGAUCCCUAGCUGGUCUGAGAGGAUGACCAGCCACACUGGAACUGAGACACGGUCCAGACUCCUACGGGAGGCAGCAGUGGGGAAUAUUGCACAAUGGGCGGAAGCCUGAUGCAGCCAUGCCGCGUGUAUGAAGAAGGCCUUCGGGUUGUAAAGUACUUUCAGCGGGGAGGAAGGGAGUAAAGUUAAUACCUUUGCUCAUUGACGUUACCCGCAGAAGAAGCACCGGCUAACUCCGUG